rnacentral:lncRNA from 1 species
AACCAUGACAUACUGCUAGGUGUCACUCAUGGUUUGUGGAAGCCCUAAACGUGUAUAAUCACUAAAGGGAGAAUUGAAAGUAAGUUUCAAUUCACAAUCUAUUUGAAAGAGUUCUAAUCGCCCUCUGCCUCGCUAAAAGGAACCUAAUGGAUCGUACACCGUGUAAGGUAGAGAUUGAAGAAACAACGAAGAUGAGUAAGGAUAAUUAAAUGGUUUAAUUGUUUAUGGCAAGGAUUAAUUAAUAUGUUAAUUAAUAAAAUGAAUAAAGUUUGUUAAAGACCUCGGGUUAGUUUUGGGCCUUAAGGCCCAAUGGGUUUCGAACGUCAAGCCCAUUGACUUAAGUUGUAUGACAACUUAAUGACUAAAUAUUCACAAAGGCCCAAACAGCCCAAUAACACCCUAUGGCCGGCCAUAUUGAUAAAGGAGUGGGUUUUGGACUUAUUACAAGUUUGCCACUCUAAUGAAGGUAGUAUAAAUAUGACUUUAUAGCCUUUUCUUCAUUAGGGUUUCUUUUAGAGAAAAGAUGAGAACACAAUGUCUCUUCCUUUCUCUCUAAGAGGCCGGCCACCUUAGAGGAUUUUAGCUAGCAAUCUUACUUCCUCUAGGUCACUUAUCUCUUCUUCAAGUCCAUCCUUGGUGUGGAAAAAUUAGAGGUUCUCAACUUUGGGAACUUGGAGAAUCCUGUCAACCAUCCUCAUCCAAGAAAUCCAUGGAUCUAAGAAGCAAGGAAUGAAGGCCCUCUCCUUGGGUGAUUAGCCUUUGCUUAUGCAAAGAGGAAUCAACAAACGUAUAAAAUCUCUCAACUCACUUUGUUCUUGAGUUGAGUCUUGGUUCACCUUUCUACUAGGCUUUGAAUUUCAUGGGUAAUGUUUUGUUUUUGAGUGCAUACAAGCAUGAUUCCGCCUUUAAAUGUUAAUUGCAUGCCAUAGAUGUUGCUUAAAUGAACAUGUUUUUCACAAAAUUUCCUUCAAGUGGUAUCAUAGCCUAGGUCUAGUAGUUGGUGAAUCCUUUUGGGUUUUGUAGUUCAUAGUCUUUGAUUUGAAUGUUGUAAUUGUUACAAGCUUUAUUCUUGCUUAUUUGAAUGUAAAUUUUGUUAGAAAAUUUGCCAUCUCAAAUGUUGCAGAUGUAGUUCAUAUGAGCAUGAAUUUUGGAGCUAAAAUUUGGUGCCAUGUUUUUGGGGAAAUUCGGCCAAAUCCAAAGGGUGGAUUUUUGGGUAGUGAAAUUUUGAAUUUUAUUGAGUGAAAACAUUCAUGGAGCUCUUAUGAGUUUUCAUGUGUUCUUCAAUGUUCUUGAUGUUCUUACCAAUAACAAAAAGUUUUGGUGUUUUGAUUCAAUAUGUUUGUUGCUUUGAAUAAAGUUUUGGUUUAUUAUUGAUUGGUGAUUGAUGAUUUAUGCCUUUAUUGUUUGACAAAAUAUUUUUCUUACAACCCAUCCCAAUCAACUUUUCCUCACCUACCCAUCCACUUACACAAAACACUUUCAAAUUUUGAAUUUUUCACCAAAACUUUUUCCCCCUCAUUUUUCACUCUCACCAACCGGCCACCCUAUUAAAAUAGGGUACUUUUGGGGCUUUUAUGCAAUUACAUAAAGUUUUGAUACUUUUGUGUAUUUGUACUUUGACCCAAAAGUUUACGUUUUUACAUAAAGGCCCAAAAACACUAAAGGACAAAUUGUUUUGCUCCUUUAAUGAAGUUUUUGUAUUUGAUGAAAUUUUUGGGUUCUAGUUGUAAUUACAUGAAGUAGUGGACUUUUGUGUUCUUACAAAGUGACCUCAAGUUUGUGUUUUGCCACAUAGCCCAAAAGGUUGUGAUUAUUGCAUUUGGCCCAAAUUAGUUGAGAACAAAAUAGUUUUGUAUCUUUAAAUGAGAAUUGGAUUUUCAUUUCAUUUAGCUCCAUUUAAAUCAAUUCUAUGGAAACAAAAACCAAAUGAAAAUGUUGCAUUCAAGUUUAAUUAGUUAAAGCAUUAAUUAAUUAAAGAAAGGGUGAUUAUGAACCUAAGCCUACGAUAAUUGAGCUAUGUGAAAGGCUGUCUCAAAUUUGUUUGAACCAUGGGAAUGUGUAGAUUAGAUUUUGGUUGUAAUUUGAUAUGAUCAAACGUUGUAAAAGAGCAUAAGCUCUUCUUUACUUUAAAGUAAUUUGUUUUGAUCAAAUGUUGUAAAAGAGCAUAAGCUCUUCUUUACUUUGAAGUACUCCUUUCUUGUUUUAUUUGAUAUGCAUGAAAUUGGAGUAGUUGGGUCUCAUGCCCAAUAAGAAAAACACGCCUUAAUAUGAUUAAACGCGUAACUAUAAUCAAUCACCAUCCCUAGACAGAGAUCCAACACUAGGCUCGUGUUGGAUCUAAUCAAAGGUUCAUAGUCAUCCUAAGGCCCAAAGGCAACUAUACAGUCCAUCAAUGAAUACAAACCUUAUGUUAGUAGUACCAUAUACUCUUGCUUUAAAAACCAUUUUACAAGCGUAGUGGGAGUAUCAUAUACUAAUAAAUCAAUCAUAUGGACCAAUAGUUGUAAUAGGACCAAAUUGUUUUAAUAAGAUUAAAAUGUAUGUUUAUAUGUGAUGAGACCUAAAACCCUCAACCAAACCAUUAUUAAGUUGAUAAGCGUGAGAGUGUUUUGAACACUCUUUCGUGGCAUUCCACCGUGGUAGGCUCCGAUCGUUUGUGACUCGUACACCGACUUCACCCUAUCAUGGGGGAGUACAAAGUGCGUGCUUACACUCAGGAGGAGUUCUAUAUGCAUACAUGAUGUUGUGAAGGUAGGCAACGAGAAUGACCAACAUCAUAUCAUUCUGAGGUUGUUCUUGAACCCCUACUUGAACUUGCAUGGUGGGAAUGACUUAACUAAGUGCAAUAGAGCCAACAUCAUAUCAUUGUGAGGCUUUAUUCUCUAGAGGCCAAAUAAGAUGGGUACUUGCAAGAGAUGCAAAUGAGUAAGCGUACUCUCUCAUUAUUAUUAAUGCUAGCCAACAUCAUAUCAUUGUGAGGUGGGCUUGGUAAUGAUGAGUCUCUCAUACCCUACUAAGAGUUUCCUCCAAAACUCUCGAAUUCCGAUGAGGGAUAUGGAAUUUGCCAAAAAUAGUGGGUGAUGCUAUUUGAUUUAAAGACCUGGAUCAAAUGGCUUAAAAUCAAUCAAUUUAUAUUCAUUAUAUAUUUAUAUACCAAUAUAUUUGCAACGCUAUCCAAAACUUGACAAAGAAAAAGCCGAAAUCUUUAGUUUCCGGACUUGGUACUACAAUCCCAUAGAUUGUCUAUAAUGGCUUGUAUAUGUACCUAAGUAGUCUCAUCCUCACAAUCUUUCUAUUGAUAAUGUAUCAUUGGAAGAACAUGUUAGAUAAGUCUAUCAUAAAGAGGACAAUACUUUUAAUGUCAUAAUUCUUCAAUUACAAAUUGUUGUAUGAAGAAAUAAGAGUUGCUUUGAACAAGCCUUAGCUAACGCAAACAUUAGUGCUUGUUUCUUUGUUACAUGAACAAGGAACUUGAGAAGUAAGCAUAAGGGCAUGGACACUUUAUGUGCCAUGAUUCUUCACUUACAAAUUGUUGUAUGAAGAAAUGAGAGUUGCCUUGAACAACUCUUGAAAGUUUGUAAUUAUGUUUAGAACAUAAUGGUUGGUUGACAAAAAUAGUCCAUCAACAUGGAAUUAUGAUGAUUUUGAAUCAUUGAGUGUCGAAGUGUUAAACCACUUCUAGAGACGGAAACUAGGCAUGGACUUCACUUUUGUGUCCCUAUCCAAAUGGUUCACUAAGUUUAUUGUAAACUAUAUAGUGAACAAUAACCACACGCUCUCCAAAUCGUUUGAUGUGUAUAACACAAUUGAAAUAAGUUUCAAGAGAGAUAGUGGAAGUUUAGGGACCAUGACUAUUGUAGUCAAAGGAGAAGUUAAAUGAAGAAGGGGAAAUAACUCCUAGGGAACAAACUUUCUUUAUGAAAGGAUGAACAUUGGAAGGGGUAUUUGCAAGAAAUGUCUUGCAAGUGUCAAGAACACACCUUUCGAAGGUGUUGUAAAUUGUUCUUGAAAAGUUCAAAACAGUUGGUUCUUCUACUUGAAUGCUUGAUUCCGUAUUAGUAACUAUGUUUUACAAUCGUUGUAAAAGUGUGGCUAAUAAGAAGUAGAAGAUUAAUGAGAGAAGAGAAAGUACUUCACAUUCGGAACGUGAAUCAAAUGUAGAUCUCUGCGAAAGCAGAUCGUACUUACUUCCUCAUAUGAACUACCAAAGAAAUUGGAAAAACCAAAGAUUGUCUUUACAUUCCAAUGUUAAGGAACUUAAUUCCAUCACUAUAAGAGAUGGAUGAAUGUUUUGUUUGACAAAACAUUGUUCUUUAUUAAUGAAUGAUUAGAUUAUUGUAAUCUAAUUGAUUAUCUCUACAGUAGAGAUGAUGUGGUAGUGUUAAUUGUUUAGAAUAUAACGAUGCUUAAAACCCAAAACAUUGCAAGGUAAUGACGAAUCCCAACUGAGUUGUGAUACCUCUAAAACAUAAAUUACGAGUUGGUCAUAGAUGGAUGCUUUGGAUCGUUAGAUCCGGAUCCAAUGCCUUCUUGUUAAAAUUGUAUAGAGGCAAAAUGUUUGAAUCUUUAUUCUUUUGGAAAGGAAGAAAGAAUCACAAAGUUGUUGAGGUUAAUUCACUUAGAUGUUAGUGGCACUUGUCCACAACAUAAUACUACUCAUGUUGUAUGACAUUCACCGAAGAUCAGUCUCGGUUGGACUAUCAUUUAUUUUGAAUAAACACAAGUCCGAAUACUUUGCAAAAGGUUUCAAAGAAUUCAAGAAAUGUAAGUUGAUGAGUAAGAUGUCUAAAGUAUUUACCUCCUUAGAUUUGAUCCAAGGAAAAGUAACACUUUAGAACAGUUUCCUUGAAAGAUAUCAAGGAAAGAAGCAUCAUAUGAUAAUGGAUUUCUCCAUUAAGAGAAGAACGAACUCGAAUAAGAUUUAGUUCGUUGGAUGUUAUCAAUUACCCAUAUAUAUAGGAUACAUACUUCUAAGACAAUAUGAUUGUCAAUUAGAAGAUCUUCCAACAUUUUCAUGACUCCAUAGGAUGUAGUUGGAAAGAAAGACAAAUCUUAAUCAUGUUAAGAUUUGGGGUUGUGUGCUAAUAAGCAAUAUUUGUUUGAGAAUUAUCAUGUGGAUAUCCUUAAAUUAACCUUUGGGUAUUACUUCUAUAAACCAACUAACAAAUGUUGUUUUGUUGGUUAGUUCAUUGUAAUCCUACAAUAUGAUUUGCCUAAGCGCAAAUGAACGAGAGAUAGAACUCAAAGAAUGGGUUCUUUGAGAGACAAGAUGAUAAUCAACAAAUAUAACAACCUAGUUCCUACACCACAAGCUCCAAGGUAGUCGAGAAGGAUUUAUAAACUGUCUCAGUUGAAUGGUUUGAACUUUAUGACUAUGUCAUAGAGUUACACUUCUUAAUUCGAAAGAAAUAAGAAUGAAAAUCCUUAUGACUACAUUGAGUGUAUAUACGACAUACACUAAAGGAAAUGGUAAAAUACCAUUUGACCCGAAAUAAUGAAACCUUUAUAGCUAAUUGGUAGCUUAAAGUGACUACAAUCAAAGAGAUUGGUUGACUUUGAAGAAACCAUCUUUAACGUAGUCUUGGUUUCAAUUAAUUCGAAGAUUGCUAUCUACAACUAAAUGGUGAUUCAAUGUUUUGACAUAAUAUGGGUUUCCGAAACCAUGAUUAAGAUAGUCUUGAUAAUAUAUGUCUAAAACUAUGAAUCACAAGACAUGUAAGUUGUAGAGAUCCAUCCAUCAUGAAUCUUAGCAAGCUAGUAGGAGCUAUAAGCGUCUUAUGAGAGAAAGAUCAAAUCGUUUGAUUUCUCAUAAAGAUGUAAAUGAAUCUUUUGUUUACUAGGUUUACAAAAGAUUAGUGGGAGUUAAUCAUGUUCCUAAAUUUGAAUAUAUAUAUUUAACACAUAUAUGAUAUAUUAAUUUUGGAAAUGAAAAGAAUACUUCGUUAAAGUUAUGACUUUAAACAUUCUAUAACGAUAGAAUGUAUAUGGGAGACAUAGUUUAUAAACAUGGGAUGGAAAUCUAUAAUGAUAGAUAUCAGGAUAUAAUUGGAUUAUAUCAAGCCCUAAUGAUAGACAAAAGAUGCUAGGAAGUUUCUCAUAUGAUGAUAAACUUUAAUCAGAAGAACAACCCUAGUGAGACUAGGAGGUAGCUCUUCUCAAAGGGAACGUACCCUUUGACUCCCGAAGAAAUAAUGCAUAAAUAUAAUCCUUUAUGUAUACGCAAAAGGUGAUUUAUGUAUUUCAUAUUGUAUGAAAAACAUUGAUAUGAGUUGUACUAAGAUUGGUACAAGACUAUAUCAAUGCAAGCCCAGGAUCAGAAUCAUGGCAACUGUUAAGUGAAUCCUUAAGUAUUUGAGAAAUAAUAGAGGAUGGAUUCCUCAAGAAUGAGGAAGAAUUAGAGUAACGUAAUGGAAGCGUAAAUGUAUUAGAUUAUGAAUCUAAUCCAUUAUUGGAUGUUUCUUCAAUAUGAAUGAAGAGAUAAUCAGAUAUCUCUUUAUUAUGACUUAAGAGAUAUUUGGAUGGAAACAUUAAAAGUAAUGACUUUAGUGUGUUCCAUUAUGAAUGCAAAAUAUAUUGCCAUAUAGAAGCUUACAACAAUCUUGUUUGGAUGAGAAAGUUCAUUUAUGAACUCUCUAUUCGGUUCCAACCAGAAAGUGUCUCCAGUGUACCGACACUACGAUACUAAUGGGGCGAUAGCUCAAGCUAGGGAAUCACGGUCUCAUCAAGAUCCGAACUCAAAUGAGAGACUGAACCACAUGAUUGAGAAUCAUGUAUAAUGGUGACAUUGUUAUUCUCAAGGUUACUUCUAUGGAUAACAUAUAGAUAUCCAUUGCCUAGGCCUACUACUCAGCCAUUUUUGAAAUGACUACAGAAGAGGUAUCAUCAUUUAUGACCAAGCUAAUUGGCUCUAGUGCAAGUGGGAGAUUGCUGGAAAUGUGCCCUAAAACCAAUCAUAUGAUGAUACUUUACGGAAAUUUCACAUGUUAAACUAAUCUAGUUUAAUAUCAAGGGCAAAGAUUAUUGUUUUAAGCCGUCUCAUAUAAAUGUUAUAUGCUUAAACGAUAAGUCCAAGGAAUAUGUAAUUAGGAGAAUGUAAUUUAAAGAAGUUAGAUUCAUGAGACCAUUUUCUUUCGUAUACAUAUCCUAAACGUUCCUGAUCAUAGGAUUGCUAAUUGGGCAUUGACAGUCCGUUAAGAUCAGUACGUGAUGUGUCUUCUCUCAGGUAGAGUGACUGGUCUAGAGUCAUUGGUGUGAUUGCACCAGGACAAGCAUGUAGGUGCUCAAUAGAGAAUGAGUCCACUGAACACGAUCAACGAGGAGUUCUCAUACUCAUGUCACAUGAGAACUCAUGGUUGGGAUAAUGCAAAGUAGUCAUUUGACCUAAGGCAUCAUAGUUGUCUUGUGGUUAGGUCCUUGAUCUUUGACUAUGUCAAAGUCACUCUGUCAGAGGGUGUCCACGGCAUAAUUGGGGUUAAGUCACUUAGCCAUUGAGGCAAGUGAAUGCACAACAAGGGAUCUCUAACCUUCAAACCGUUUGAGGGAGAAUACUAUAUGAUAUGAUUAAGAAUCUCUGGCCAGAGUAUGAAUGAGAUUUAGGAAGUCGUUCCAAAUCACAUUCAAGGUAAUCAUAUAAGUAAAUGAAUCACAUUGGAUAGUAGACAUGAUUAAACUAUCAAACCAAACAAUGUGGUCAAGAGUAUUGUAUUAGAGAAAGACCGUAUUGCAUUGUAAUCCUAAACUGAAUAUGUUUUCCACCUCUUCUGAUUAGCUUGGGUGACUAUGACAUAUUGUUAGGUGUCACUCAUGGUUUGUGGAAGCUCUAAACGUGUAUAAUCACUAAAGGGAGAAUUGAAAGUAAGUUUCAAUUCACAAUCGAUUUGAAAGAGUUCUAAUCGCCCACUGCCUCGCUAAAAGGAACUUAAUGGAUCAUACACCGUGUAAGGUAGAGAUUGAGGAAACAAUGGAGAUGAGUAAGGAUAAUUAAAUGGUUUAAUUAUUUAUGGCAAAGAUUAAUUAAUAUGUUAAUUAAUCAAACGAAUAAGUUCGUUAAAGACCUCGGGUUAGUUUUGGGCCUCAAGGCCCAAUGGGCUUCGAACGUCAAGCCCAUUGACUUAAGUUGUAUGACAACUUAAUGACUAAAUAUUCACAAAGGCCCAAACAACCCAAUAACACCCUAUGGCCGGCCAUAUUGAUAAAGGAGUGGGUUUUGGACUUAUUACAAAUUUGCCACUCUAAUGAAGGUAGGUAUAAAUAUGACUUUAUAGCCUUUUCUUCAUUAGGGUUUCUUUUAGAGAAAAGAUGAGAACACGAUGUCUCUCCCUUUCUCUCUAAGAGGCCGGCCACCCUAGAGGAUUUUAGCUAGCAAUCUUACUUCCUCUAGGUCACUUAUCUCUUCUUCAAGUCAAUCCUUGGUGUGGAAAAAUUAGAGGUUCUCAACUUUGGGAACUUGGAGAAUCCUGUCAACCAUCCUCAUCCAAGAAAUCCAUAGAUCUAAGAAGCAAGGAAUGAAGGCCCUCUCCUUGGGUGAUUAGCCUUUGCUUAUGGAAAGAGGAAUUAACAAAGGUAUAAAAUCUCUCAACUCAAUUUGUUCUUGAGUUGAGUCUUGGUUCACCUUUCUACUAGGCUUUGAAUUUCAUGGGUAAUGUUUUGUUUUUUUGAGUGCAUACAAGCAUGAUUCCGCCUUUAAAUGUUAAUUGCAUGCCAUAGAUGUUGCUCAAAUGAACAUGUUUUUCACAAAAUUUCCUUCAUCUAGGUGUAUUCUAUCUUUUGUUUUCAAUGUUUAAUUUAACUUAUCUUUGUUUAAUUGUGAACAUGAGGAGCUAAACUCGCUUUAGCUAGAGGUGAAUUCAAAGCCAUGAACAUUCAUGUGAUAUGAAUUGAUUUCCUCCAGUUAUUGUUUCAUAAAUCGUAACUUGUUUUUGUAUGUUGAUUAAGGAGGCCUACUUAGUUUGCAUGCAUGAAUUUGAUGCUAAAAUAUAAGGGAAUUUCACCUAAUCGUUAUGAACUUAUAUUCAUAAGUAGUGGAAGUCACUAGUCAUGAUUGUGUUAAGUAAAUUCUUGGUAGGAGUAUCUGUUGGAAAUGUGCCCUAAAGCCAAUCAUAUGAUGAUACUUUACGGACAUUUCACAUGUUAAACUAAUCUAGUUUAACUAUGAAAGGCAAAGAUUAUUGUUUGAGCCGUCUCAUAUAAAUGUUAUAUGCUUAAACGAUAAAGUCCAAGGAAUAUGUGAUUGGGAGAAUGCGAUCUAAUGAAGUUAGAUUCAUGAGACCAUUGUUUCGUAGACACAUCCUAAAUGUUCCUGAUCAUAGGAUUGCCAAUUGGGUAUUGACAGUCCGUUAAGAUCAGUACGUACUGUGUCUUCUCUCAGGGAGAGUGACUAGUCUC